rnacentral:rRNA from 1 species
UACGUAGGUGGCAAGCGUUGUUCGGAAUUACUAGGCGUAAAGGGCGUGUAGGUGGGAAGGUAAAUCACAUGUGAAAGCUCCGAGCUUAACUUGGAGAGGUCAUGUGAAAUUGCUUUUCUUGAGUGUGGGAGAGGGAACUGGAAUUUCUGGUGUAGCGGUGAAAUGCGUAGAGAUCAGAAGGAAUACCAAUGGCGAAGGCAGGUUCCUGGCCCAAUACUGACACUGAAGCGCGAAAGCUAGGGGAG